UAAAAACAUGCAUAAUCAUACAUUAUACAUAUCCAUCACCAUCAUUCAUGCAUAUUCAUAUAUCAUGCAUAUACUUCAUUUAUCACAUAAUCAAUCAUCCACAAUUAUACACCAAACAUAUAGUUUCACGUCGUUUCGGACAAUACCAAAACAUCAACAAAUACAUUGUUCAGAUUAUGGUCAUGACGGACCCUGCGUUGUUCAUUUUAUAGUCAUGACGGACUC
rnacentral:lncRNA from 1 species